CCUACGGGUGGCAGCAGUGGGGAAUAUUGGGCAAUGGAGGAAACUCUGACCCAGCAACGCCGCGUGAAUGAUGAAGGUCUUCGGAUUGUAAAGUUCUUUUCUAAGGGAAGAAGAAAGUGACGGUACCUUAGGAAUAAGCCUCGGCUAACUACGUGCCAGCAGCCGCGGUAAUACGUAGGAGGCAAGCGUUAUCCGGAAUGACUGGGAGUAAAGGGUGCGUAGGUGGGUGGCUAAGUUGGUAGCGUAACUCCGAGGCUCAACCCCGGACCUACUACCCAAACUGUCGGACUUGAGUGCAGGAGGGGCAACUGGAAUUCCUAGUGUAGCGGUGGAAUGCGUAGAUAUUAGGAGGAACACCAGUGGCGAAGGCGAGUUGCUGGACUGUAACUGACACUGAGGCACGAAAGCGUGGGGAGCAAACAGGAUUAGAUACCCCAGUAGUC
rnacentral:rRNA from 1 species